rnacentral:piRNA from 1 species
UGCCUGUGAGAUUCUGGAUAAAGC